rnacentral:rRNA from 1 species
GGCCUUCGGGUUGUAAAGCACUUUUAUCGGGAGCGAAAUACCAUUGGCUAAUAACCGAUGGGGCUGACGGUACCCGAGGAAUAAGCACCGGCUAACUUCGUGCCAGCAGCCGCGGUAAUACGAAGGGUGCAAGCGUUAAUCGGAAUUACUGGGCGUAAAGGGUGCGUAGGCGGUUAGUUAAGUCUGUUGUGAAAUCCCCGGGCUCAACCUGGGAAUGGCAAUGGAUACUGGCUAGCUAGAGUGUGUCAGAGGAUGGUGGAAUUUCCGGUGUAGCGGUGAAAUGCGUAGAGAUCGGAAGGAACAUCAGUGGCGAAGGCGGCCAUCUGGGACAACACUGACGCUGAAGCACGAAAGCGUGGGGAGCAAACAGGAUUAGAUACCCUGGUAGUCCACGCCCUAAACGAUGCGAACUGGAUGUUGGUCUCAACUCGGAGAUCAGUGUCGAAGCUAACGCGUUAAGUUCGCCGCCUGGGGAGUACGGUCGCAAGACUGAAACUCAAAGGAAUUGACGGAAUCACUA